rnacentral:rRNA from 1 species
UACGUAGGGACCGAGCGUUGUCCGGAAUCAUUGGGCGUAAAGAGCGCGUAGGCGGCCCUGUAAGUCCGCUGUGAAAGUCAAGGGCUCAACCCUUGAAUGCCGGUGGAUACUGCAGGGCUAGAGUCCGGAAGAGGCGAGUGGAAUCCUGGUGUAGCGGUGAAAUGCGCAGAUAUCAGGAGGAACACCGAUGGCGAAGGCAGCUCGCUGGGACGGUACUGACGCUGAGGCGCGAAAGCGUGGGGAGCAAACAGG